ACAGCAGCAGCCGCGGUAAUACGGAGGGUGCAAGCGUUAAUCGGAAUUACUGGGCGUAAAGCGCACGCAGGCGGUCUGUCAAGUCAGAUGUGAAAUCCCCGGGCUUAACCUGGGAACUGCAUUUGAAACUGGCAGGCUAGAGUCUUGUAGAGGGGGGUAGAAUUCCAGGUGUAGCGGUGAAAUGCGUAGAGAUCUGGAGGAAUACCGGUGGCGAAGGCGGCCCCCUGGACAAAGACUGACGCUCAGGUGCGAAAGCGUGGGGAGCAAACAGGAUUAGAUACCCCUGUAGUCCCUGUCUCUUAUAC
rnacentral:rRNA from 1 species